CGGGAAUAUUGCGCAAUGGAGGAAACUCUGACGCAGUGACGCCGCGUAUAGGAAGAAGGUUUUCGGAUUGUAAACUAUUGUCGUUAGGGAAGAAAAAAGACAGUACCUAAGGAGGAAGCUCCGGCUAACUAC
rnacentral:rRNA from 1 species